GACGAACGCUGGCGGCGUGCUUAACACAUGCAAGUCGAGCGGUAAGGCCCUUUCGGGGUACGACGAGCGGCGAACGGGUGAGUAACACGUGGGUGACCUGCCCUCAGCUCUGGGAUAAGCCUGGGAAACCGGGUCUAAUACUGGAUAUGACUCCAUGACGCAUGUUGUGGGGUGGAAAGCCUUGUGCGGCUGAGGAUGGGCCCGCGGCCUAUCAGCUUGUUGGUGGGGUGANCGGCCUACCAAGGCGACGACGGGUAGCCGGCCUGAGAGGGCGACCGGCCACACUGGGACUGAGACACGGCCCAGACUCCUACGGGAGGCAGCAGUGGGGAAUCUUGCGCAAUGGGCGAAAGCCUGACGCAGCGACGCCGCGUGAGGGAUGACGGCCU
rnacentral:rRNA from 1 species